rnacentral:rRNA from 1 species
AUACGAAGGGUGCAAGCGUUACUCGGAAUUACUGGGCGUAAAGCGUGCGUAGGUGGUUGUUUAAGUCUGUCGUGAAAGCCCUGGGCUCAACCUGGGAAUGGCGAUGGAAACUGGGCGACUAGAGUGUGGCAGAGGGUAGUGGAAUUCCUGGUGUAGCGGUGAAAUGCGUAGAGAUCAGGAGGAACAUCCGUGGCGAAGGCGACUGCCUGGGCCAACACUGACACUGAGGCACGAAAGCGUGGGGAGCAAACAGGAUUAGAUACCCUGGUAGUCCACGCCCUAAACGAUGCGAACUGGAUGUUGGGUGCAAUUUGGCACGCAGUAUCGAAGCUAACGCGUUAAGUUCGCCGCCUGGGGAGUACGGUCGCAAGACUGGAACUCAAAUGAAUUGACGGGG